UUUUCAUGUUGCAUAGCAACUUUUAAAAUUAAAAUUUUUUUAAAACUUGCUCUAAAUUAAAUCAGGCCAAAGACCCUCCCAAAUCCCAAACACCAAUUUCACAGCUCUAUAUUACAACAAGUGGCCAACUAGAAAAAGAAGAGGGAAAAAGAGAGAGGAAGAGAACAAAACUCUUACCAUAAUAUUUUCAUGAUAAUUUUUGAUGAAAUUGAAUUUGAAUGCUGGGAUUUUUAAUUUUCUGCGAGUGAGCUCCGCCCAUUAUUAGUACACGUACGUAUGUGACGUCAUAAAACUCACGUGAUGUGCAUGUGGUCUGGUAGUGGCGCGGCACGAGACGCGAGUAAAACUUCAAACUUGAGCAUGCUAGUGUCAGUGGUGUGAGGAUUUUGUGCAAGGGUCACUGGACUGCGAGCUGGAUAGUUGGACUGUCUGAGCAGGCUGUGCCAUAGAUAUUGGCUGGGCUCACAGUCUAUUGGAUAUGAGUCUAUAUAGGGCUAUUAGUCGAGUCGAGGAGCUCCGGGCCGUUUACGAGUAGUGCUUAAGAGCGGACAAUGGACCGUGGAAGAGCGGACAAUGGACCGUGGGGUUUGGCACUCCGGCACUGUCAUUGAGGAACAGCACUGAUAACAAUUGACAACUAUGAUAUGAUAAUAACAAUUAUCAAGAAAAAUAUUUAGCAAGCCGGUUGCAGGACCAUAUAUAUACUGAAAGAGGACAUUGUGAAACACUUCAAGUUAACUCAGGUGCCGGCUCCCAGUAAAAGUUUGGUAUUGUACCUGCAGAUGGUUCCUAUGCCUUAACUACAGCAAUGAAGUGUUCGCUGCUGAUGGUAAGACUGUCGACUUUGAUGUUGGGAUCGUGUAAUUUGAAAUAUUUGAAAACAUCUCCUAAAUUUACUAAAUGACUAAUGAUCCUUUCAAAUUAGCAGCUACUAACAAGAAAUGGGUUUCUAUAUUCACAGGGUGCAUGGAGACCCUUUGUUGAUGUGGUGGGAGUAUUAUCUGGAAAAACGAUUGAAUUUAAAAUGCUUGAGAUAUUAUUUUGACAGGCAAAUGAAGCAAUGCUUAAAAGAUGCUCUUUGAUGUUAAAAGAAAUUUGAUUUCACUCCAUAGUCUCUAGAAAUUGAACAGAUGGUGUUCAGGGUCCAUUUAGAGGGUAAUCCAGUCCAUGAGCAUUCAUUAUUUGUCGUAAGGGCCACUAUUUGUCUUUCGUCAUCAGCCUCAUUGUUGCUAAAAGUCUGUACGUGUUUCAGAGCCCCUUCAUUGUCAUCAUCGAAUGUUCAAGUAUGAAUUUGUCACUCUGCUUGUGCAUGCAUCAUUGAAUUGUAAUAAUUGUUGCCAGUUACAGCAAUGUAAACUGUGUCGUUUAUGUUUUUUGUCGUUACUGCCCGGCCAGAAAUCGGAAUGUCUCAGCCCCUCUUUCGUUGUGUAAUCUUGCAGCAUACAGUUACCAGUAGUUAUUAUGUACUGUGUCUGCAUAAAAACUUUAAUAAUGUUUAACGAACUGUUUGGAAAGAUAGUAUCCAAUUUGAAAAAAGACUUGGUGAGAUUAAGCCAUUCUUCCUCACCAUUCAGUCUGGUAAUUAACCUAUGAUAAAAAUUAAAAGACUAAAUUUAGUAACCUACUCUUCAAUGGCAGUUUUUGAAAUGAUUCAAUGGUGAAUCUUCAUUUGACUGAUUAUUAGUAUGGUUAUAUUCAAUUUUAGUCUCCUCAAGUUUGUACUGCAACAGAACAAACUACAAUAGCUGAAAAUAAUAAAAUACAUAAUGCCAAGAAGGACAUAUUUAGGUUUGUCUACAUACUAGUGGUUCUCGUGCCUUAACUACAGUGGUGAAGUGUCCUCUGUUUAUGGUGAGACAGUCAACUGCUUUGACUUUUGAUGCUGGGAUAGUUUGAAAUAUUUCAAAAUGUUCCGUGAAUUUACUCAUUUUAUAAACGCCUAAUGAUCCUUUCAAAUUGGCAGCUACUAAGAAGAAUUGGCUUUCAAUAUGCAUAAGUGGAGACCCUUUAUUGUACCUGAUUAGGGUAUUAUCUGAAAAACGAUUGAGAUUUUGACAGGCAAAUGGAGCAAUGCUUACUUGAUGUAAAAGAAAUUCGAUUUUACUCCAUAGUCUCCAGAAAUUGAAUGAAAUUGAACAGACGAUGUUCAGGUUCCCUUCAUAGACUGUAAUCCAGUCCACGAGUGUUCAUUAUUCAUCGUAAGAGUGAUAAGUAUUAAUUUCUUCAUUCAUCAUUCCAAAUGAAUUCUCAUCAGCCUCAUUGUUCCUAAAAGUCUGUACAUGUUUUAAAGCCCUGUCAUCAUUGAAUGUUCAAGUAUCAUUGAAUUGUAAUAAUUUUUGCCAGUUACAGCAGUAUAAACUUUGUCGUUUAUGUUUUUUGUCAUCACUGCCCACAGCCAGGAAUCAGAUUGUCUCGGCCCCUCUCUCAUUACAUUGUAAUCUUGCAGUAUACAGUUGUCAGUAGUUAUUGUGUACUGUGUCUGGCACUGUCUGCAUAGAAAGUUUCAUGUUAAACGAAUGGUUCGGAAAGAGAUAUCCGAUUUGAAAAGGUCUUGGUGAGAUUAAGCCAUUCUUCAUCACUAUUAUUUAACCAUUCAGUCUGGUAACCUAUGAUAAAAAUGAAAUGACUAAAUUUUAUAACCUAAACCUACUCUUUGAUGGCAUUUUUUUCGAAAUGAUUCAAUGGUGACUCCUCAUUUGACUAAUUAUUAGUAUCGUUAUAUUCAAUUUUAAUCUCUUCAAGUUUGUGCUUCAACAGAACAAACUACAAUAGCUGAAAAUAAUAAAAUACAAACACUGAGAAGGACAUACCGGUAUUUGGGUUUGUCUAUGCACUAGUAUUUCUCGUGCCUUAACUACAGCAAUGAGGUGUCCUCUGUUCAUGGUAAGACUGUCAAAUGCUUUGACUUUCGAUGUUGGGAUAUUUUGAAAUAUUUCAAAUCGUCUCGUGAAUUUACUUAUUUUAUAAAUGACUAAUGAUCCUUUCGAAUUGGCAGCUACUAAGAAGAACUGGCUUUCAAUAUUCACAGGAAGGAGACCCUUUGUUGUACGUGGUUAGGGUAUUACCUAAAAAACGGCAAUGCUUAAAAGAUGAUCUUUGAUGUUAAAGAGAUUUCACUCCAUAGUCUCCAGAAAUUGAACAGACAGUGUUCAGGGUUCCUUUAGAGGGUAAUCCAGUCCAUGAAUGUUCAUUAUUCGUCAUAAGAGUGAGAAAUAUUUUAUUUGUCUUUCUAAAUGCAUCAUCAUAAGCCUCAUUCUUGCUAAAAGUCUAUACGUGUUUCAGAGCCCCUUUAUUGUCAUUAUCGAACGUUUAAGGAUGAAGUCGUCGCUAUCAUUGAAUUGUAGUGAUUGUUGCUGGUUCGGCCAGGAAUCAUUAUUGUCUGAGAAUGUCUUGGCCCCUCUCUUGUUGUAUUGUAUACAGCUACCAGUAGUAAUUGUGUACUAGCUGUGUCUGUCCUUGUCAAUUUCAUGCAUAGAAACUUUGAUGUUUAGCUUAUGAUGUCUGUUUUGAAAAAACUUGGUGAGAUUAAGUCUGCACAUUCUUCAUCAUUGCAUUAUUAUGGUAUUGAGAGUGCUUCCAUUUUGUAAAAAACCUUUGGCCUGUGACUCGAUGAACUAUGAAGUAACUAGAGACAUGGAACACUACAUGUGUGAGUUGUACACAUUCAUUCAGUCUGGUAACCUAUGAUAGAAUAAUUUAUAAUAAUAUAUGAAAUGACUAACCUUUUCUUCAGUGGCAUUUAUUCUCUUUUCCAGAUACAUGGCUGAUAUUUGAC